UUACAACUUACCUGCCGUCAGGCGAGAGGUCACUGCCUGCCUGACCACAGUGAAACUAGACCUCCCUCAGUUCUGGUUCGCCGUCUAUCCUACCUACUUCUGGAAUUUGGUGGUCGCGUGCGUGGCGGUGGAAGAGGCAGAGGCGGCAGCAGAGGUGUUUAGCGGCGUGUUUCAUGGCGAGGUGAAGGUCUCUCGGCCAGGAAGGGAUUGGAAGUCGUAGCACCAAGGAGAGAUGAUGGUGACACUGCUGAAGUAUAUUUAUAGAAGCAUAAGAAGGAAUGAAAGUGUCAGGAUAUAUGUGUUUUUUUAUUAUGAAGGCAUCUCGUGGAAGGGACGGCGGCCGGGGCCAUCACGACGCUUCUCUUCUGUUUUCGAAAUAUAAUGCAACAUCGAAACCACUUGAGAAUCAAUUUCCUUUGAUUUCCAUGUGAAAAGUUCAAUUUCCGUAAUUUGAAAUGCGAGGCUGGAGAGGAAGGGAAGUUCAGGAAGGAAUCCAUCAUUGCCACUCAACUCUGCUGUCCUGGAGGAGUGUGUUCCAGCCGCCGCCGCCGCCGCCAUCUCCCUAGGGCCAGUGUGUCAUAUAAAGGAAAAAAAAAAAUGUCCGGGUCAUUCCACUUUUAAUAUAUGUGUAGUGAUAAUACAAAAAUAAUAAAAUGA